rnacentral:rRNA from 1 species
GUCUACGGCCAUGCCACCCUGAACAAGCCUGAUCCCGUCUGAUCUCGGAAGCUAAGCAGGAUUGGGCCUGGUUAGUAUUUGGAUGGGAGACCACCUAGGAAGACCAGGUGCCGUAGGCG